rnacentral:rRNA from 1 species
UACGAAGGGGGCUAGCGUUGUUCGGAAUUACUGGGCGUAAAGGGCGCGUAGGCGGUGUGUCAAGUCAGGCGUGAAAGCCCCGGGCUCAACCUGGGAACCGCGCUUGAGACUGGCACGCUCGAGUUCGGGAGAGGAUGGUGGAAUUCCCAGUGUAGAGGUGAAAUUCGUAGAUAUUGGGAGGAACACCGAUGGCGAAGGCAGCCAUCUGGACCGACACUGACGCUGAGGCGCGAAAGCGUGGGUAGCAAACAGG